ACUGAAUAGAUACCCGGGUAGUCCACGCCGUAAACGAUGGAUACUAGAUGCUUCGGGGAGCGACCCCUGGAGUGUCGGCGCUAAACGCAGGAAGUAUCCCGCCUGGGGAGUACGGCCGCAAGGCUGAAACUCAAAGGAAUUGACGGGGGCCCGCACAAGCGGUGGAGCAUGUGGUUUAACUCGACGCAACGCGAAGAACCUUACCCAGGCUUGACAUGCACAGGAAGUUCGUCAGAAAUGAUGGGCGCCCUUCGGGGUUCUGUGCACAGGUGCUGCAUGGCUGUCGUCAGCUCGUGUCGUGAGAUGUUGGGUUAAGUUCCCGCAACGAGCGCAACCCCCGGUUCCUAGUUACCAGCGAGUUAAGUCGGGGACUCUAGGAAGACUGCCGGUGCC
rnacentral:rRNA from 1 species